rnacentral:lncRNA from 1 species
UCCCCUUUUUGGCUUGAUUUUUUUUAAAAUAUUCUUGAUACUCCUUCUUCUUGUGCACGAUCUUCGUUCUUCAUAUAUAUUCUUCACAUAUCGCUGUUGUUUGACAUACUUUAAAAAUUGAAGCUUUUGGGUUAAAAGUAUAUGAGCCCUUUUCGGGUUAAAAAUAUUGGAGCCCUUUUGCAGGAUUAAAUGUGAGCUUUAUUUUCAAAUAUGUGACAGCAGAAUUGUUGAAAAUAUGAUUAACAAUUAUCUCCACUUGUAGCUUUUGGACAUAUAUCUUCAUUAUCAUCAAAUUGAUUGCAACUUUAUUCAACAAUUGAACCAUCGAUUUAUUGGACCGUGAGCUUUGAUACCACUUGUUGGGUUCGAAAUCGAGAGUGUGUCAUGCGGAAGCUUAACGUUUGCAAACCUUGAGACAAUAAAUCAGACGACAAAGAAAAUAAUACUAAAAAAAUAUAAAAUUAUUAUAUGUUUUGGCCAAUCGGCCUACAUAUUAUAAAAUCUAACAUAAAAAACAUUAAACCUAUUGGGAGAAAUCUCCACCUAAACAAAGACUCUUUAAUG